AAAUAAAUUUUUUAUGGUUUUGAAAAUUUAUUUUAAGUUUAUUUUACAUAUAAAUUUUAGUGUUGUUUAUUAAUUAUUUAAAUAAUAUUUAAUAUUUAAUGUAGUAAUUAGUUUUAAAAAUUUAAGAAAUUAAGAUUUAGUAAUAUUAAAAGUUAAUAACUAAUUUUGUGCCAGCAGUUGCGGUUAUACAAAAAUUAAUUUAAAUUUUUUUGGUGAUUAAUUAAUAAUUUAUAUAAUAUAAUUUAAAUUUUAAAUUAUAAAGUGAAAUUUUAAUUUAAUAAAAAAUUAUUUAAUAUUUAUGAAUUUAAUAAAUUUUAUAAAAAACUAGGAUUAGAUACCCUAUUAUUAAAAUUUAAAUUAAUAAUACUUAAAUAGUAAAUAAUUAUUUAUUAAAACUUAAAUAAUUUGGCGGUAUUUUAGUUCAUUUAGAGGAAUCUGUUUAAUAAUUGAUAAUCCACGAAUAAAUUUACUUAAUUUACAUAUUUUGUAUAUCGUUGUUAUAAAAAUAUUUUUUAAUAAAAUUAAUAUUUAAAAAUUUUUAAAAUAAAUUAAAUCAGAUCAAGAUGCAGAUUAUAAUUAAGAAUAUAAUGGAUUACAAUAAAUUUAUUUAUUUGAAUUUUAAUAUGAAAAUGAUUAAAUGAAAUUGGAUUUAAAUGUAAUUUUAAAUAAAUUUUUGAGAUGAUUAAAUAUUAAAAUAUGUACAUAUUGCCCGUCGCUUUCAUUUAUAAAUUGAAAUAAGUCGUAACAAAGUAGAGGUACUGGAAAGUGUUUCUAGAUAGAU
rnacentral:ncRNA from 1 species